CCGCUAGUAGGGGAUAUUGCAACUUUACCCUGGAAGACUUUAAGGAAGAAAGGAUCUUAGUCCCCCACCUCAAGUACUUUGAAUCUCACUGUAUUUAUAUUUAUAUAUAUAUACUUUAUAUCUUACUCUAUUGUAUGGUGUUAUACUACAGGCACAGGAAGUGUGGGCUUCAGGUAGGUGUAUAGACACGGCGACUAAUCUGAAGUGUAGAUAUGUGAUAUAAGGUGACUGUACCAAAUCACUUCCCCACCCCCAAUACCUAAUAGAGUAAGUGAGAUGCCCCUACUCCAAGGUAAGUUCAAAACAAUAACAAUUUAUAUUUUUCUGACCGUUAACCAAUUUAUUUCUCUUUUCUUUCUAGGAAAAUUUGAUCGUCUUCCACAUUGGCAGAAGGAAACCAGCAGAAGGUAAAUUGACAGGUGCAGUGGCUGGGACACAAAUAAGAUCUGGGAAUUCUGUUUCAGAAUCUGACAUAUUUGCGGAUUGAUGACUUCUUGCACGCGGUGAGGUCCUUCCCACCUAGGACAUCCAGCGGAAGGCGUGCAUCUCUCCCAAACAUCAAAUAAAACGGAGAAUAGCCUGUAGAGGAGUGGACAUGACUGUUAUACGCCAUCACUAAUUCAGGCAGGUGAGUCUUCCAGUCUUUUUUCUUUUCAGGUGUCAAUGUUCUCAGCAUGUCAUGCAUGGUACGGUUGAAUCUCUCACACUGAGAGUUUCCUUGGGGGUGGUAUGGGCUUGUACGACUUUUUCCGAUGUUAUACACUUUACAGAGUUCCUUGAUCACCUGAGCCUCAAAACAUCUCCCCU